rnacentral:rRNA from 1 species
CAGCAGCCGCGGUAAUACGUAGGGCGCAAGCGUUAUCCGGAAUUAUUGGGCGUAAAGAGCUCGUAGGCGGUUUGUCGCGUCUGCCGUGAAAGUCCGGGGCUCAACUCCGGAUCUGCGGUGGGUACGGGCAGACUAGAGUGAUGUAGGGGAGACUGGAAUUCCUGGUGUAGCGGUGAAAUGCGCAGAUAUCAGGAGGAACACCGAUGGCGAAGGCAGGUCUCUGGGCAUUAACUGACGCUGAGGAGCGAAAGCAUGGGGAGCGAACAGGAUUAGAUACCCUGGUAGUCCAUGCCGUAAACGG